rnacentral:lncRNA from 1 species
GCUGGAGUGGAGGUUUGGAUAAAACAGACAGGAAACAGCUUCUGAAUACUGGAUUCAAGCUAAUAUGACAUCUUAGAAUUUAUCAGGUCUCACUUGGGUCAAGAAAACUGUGCUCUUUACUAAGUUCCUAUCAGUUCAGUUUCAGAUGCAUGAGAUACAUAAAUGUUAAUGGAAAAGUCAGUAUGGAGGAAAAAACAAUGAAUAGGAAGAUUUUAUUUUUGAGAUGUACAUGAUGGUAGAAGCCAGCAAGUUUCUAAAACAAUGGACUUGUUGUAGGAACAAUUUAGACCAGGAUAAUCUGAAAACAAGCUACAUUGCAAAGAAUGAUAAAGGGCAUCCAAUGAUGCAAAUUCCUAGAGGGCCAGAGUUCCAGAGUGAGUGUGGACAUAAGCAAACCAAACAAACCCUGAGAGAAUAAUUGAGAGAUGGAAGAUGAUAAACAAAUUAAAAAUGCUGAAAGACAAAGACAGAUGAUGAUUUGUGAAAUACAUAAAUUCUAU